UACGGCAGCAGUGGGGAAUAUUGCACAAUGGGCGCAAGCCUGAUGCAGCCAUGCCGCGUGUAUGAAGAAGGCCUUCGGGUUGUAAAGUACUUUCAGUCGUGAGGAAGGUGUUAAGGUUAAUAACCUUAGCAAUUGACGUUAGCGACAGAAGAAGCACCGGCUAACUCCGUGCCAGCAGCCGCGGUAAUACGGAGGGUGCGAGCGUUAAUCGGAAUUACUGGGCGUAAAGGGCACGCAGGCGGUUAAUUAAGUUGGAUGUGAAAUCCCCGGGCUUAACCUGGGAAUGGCAUUCAAGACUGGUUAGCUAGAGUCUUGUAGAGGGGGUUAGAAUUCCAUGUGUAGCGGUGAAAUGCGUAGAGAUGUGGAGGAAUACCGGUGGCGAAGGCGGCCCCUGGACAAAGACUGACGCUCAUGUGCGAAAGCGUGGGGAGCAAACAGGGAUUAGAUACC
rnacentral:rRNA from 1 species